CUGCCUGGUCUUUAUUGUGCUCGGGCUCCUCGCCCGCCUCCUCGCUCCAUGAAGCGCGCCCAGCGCUCCAGCUUUGCAGACACGCACGCGUGCACGAGGAGACAACCGAGCAAAGGUGCCGCCGCCGCCGCUUGUGGUUCCUCCUGCAAGCCGGAUUAAGGCUGCUGAUCUGAUGCUCAGCAGCGCCCCACGGGACCCGCUUCUUGGUCGGCCGGGGACAGAGGUUGGGUGGCAGCGACGCUUCAAGCCCGGCUGCUGCUGCAAGGCGCCCGGCUAAGUCUGCUGCGGAGGCGCAGGCAGGAGCUGCUGCAGGGAAGCCGGUUUCCGCCUCGCCACCGGAGGAGGAGCAGCAGCAACGCUGCCCAGCCCGGGAAGGUACCAAGCCAUGGAUGGAGAUCUUCUGAGAAACUGGAAAAUGGAGGAGUCUUCCAUCUUCAUGUUCUACCAGCCUCUGGAGAGAUACCAAGCAAAGGUGGCGCAGCUUCACUUCUCUGCUAGGACUGUGUAAACUUCUGUGCCUUCCUAAGCUAUUACCUUCUCCUCGUGUUUCAUUGCUGCUGUUAUUGUUGCAGUUUUAUGCACGCUUACUUGGGAGUAAGUUCUGUUGGACACAGUGGCACAUAUUUUUGGGGUAAACUUGGAUAAGUUGGAGCUGCGUGAUAACCAAUAAUAAUACCCUCUUGACGGUACCGUAAUCUGCAGUCCCAAGUCGCAGGGCAUCUAGAGAGGUGUUUUCGGUGCCCGCUCCGACACUAUCAAACUCCCUACCUUGGGAGACUUGCCUCAGGUUGGACCACGUAUAAAGCACUUCUCAAAAAUUAGAGCUGGUGAGUGGAGCACCACCAUGUGGAAAGAGAUCUUCCGUGAUUCUGAACACGCAUUGCAAAUACGAACGGACAAAUACAGUUUUUGGCAUGUUUGUUUCAGCAAGCCUAUGUGGCCUAUGUAAAAUGUUGAUAUGUGUUUCAAUCUGAUAUUUAGGCUAUUGUUGGUUUUAAUUAUUGUUUUAAAAUAAUUGUUUUUAAUGACAAUACUAUUUUUAUAGGGUUAUUGGACUAAAUAAUAAUAAAUGAAUGGAUUUUAAUAGCAAACUAAACAAAAGAAUAACAAAUUGUGGACCAAGGAGUAGUCUGCAGUGUGAUUUUAGCCAGAUCUAUAUAUUAUUAUUCUUAGAAGAAUGAUUAUUCUUCAGAGCUGAGCAGGCCCAGAGUACGUUCACCCAGGAGUUGGGUUCCUGGAUCCUAACAGCAGUCCAUUUCACUCUCCGUACAUCAUUCACCUAGCAAUGGUUAGAGUUUCCGUAUAAGCUCUGAACCAUCACAGCCCCGUUUCCAGAAUGAAAAUAGGUUAUUCAUGCAAAUUGCAUUUUAACUGCUGGCUUUAAAUGUGUUGUGAUGUAUUUUAACUAUCUUCUUUUAACUACUUGUGUUUUACAAGUUGAGAUGGGCUAUAGAUAUAUUAAAUAAUAGUCACCUGCUGUGUUUGAGGAACGCAUAGCUAUAUUGUGGCAGUUCAUAAUGUGGUGAAUCUGCAGGAUAAGGGAAAGAGCUGUUAAGUAUACUGGAUAGUCAGUGCCAAACAGGGCCGGCCCACCCAUGAGGCAGUGUGGGCAAUGGAUCCGGUCUCCAAGGAGUCCCGCAGCCACGGUGACAACAAUGGCUGUGGCACGCUGCUUGAAGUCCUGAUCUGCCUCUACAGCAGCCUUGUUCCCGAUGUAGAUCUUCACUCACCCAUUCUUCCCCAAUUGUGGGAGGAACCGUUUUGUGGCUUGCCUCGGGUACCAAAAUGUCUUGGGCUGGCCUUGAUGGUGAAGAUCUCAAGGUGUUCAUAGAUUAUGUUUGCAUACCAGGAAGUUCUCCAGUGUUGAGUCUUCCUGCAUCUCCGAGUCUUAAUAGCAGAAGGCACCCCAAGCAAACACACUACCAACUAUCAAGUCAUAAAAUAAAAUUGCAGUCCCACCCUGAAGUGGUUCAUCAGCCAGGGACUGGGUAGUCAGUGGGCCACCCGUAAUGCUUGCCUUGAGAUGAUGGGCGUCCCCAGUCAUCAGUGAUAUCUGGCAGAUUGAAGAUACAUAUUCUGUAUUUCAGAGGCUUGGCCAUCUGUCUCUCUUGUAGAUUUAUAUAGAUUAGAAAUGGGCUCCAUAUACUUAAGGAACAAAAAAUAUGUUAGCAGGUAACAGAAACUUUUAACUAAUGGGAUAUCGUUUUCAUGGCAGCUUUUAUCCAGAAAUUUUAGAAUCUGAUUGCUGGGUCUUUGCCUGCCACUAAUUUUGCAAUAAACAAAAAACACUUCAGAAUAUGCAGCACAAACAAAUUACUGAACUACUAUAAAUGUGUGGAAGCUGCUGUUGUAAAACAUAAAUUGUAUGUUACAAUGCCUCCUCAGAUAUGUAGAAAGUUGGCCUGUGUUUUGAUUAGGCUGUUAGCUUAUUGUUGAUUUUUUAUGUUUUUAACUGUUUUAACUGUUACUGAUAAAUUAUUUAUUUUUAUACUUGAGCUACUUUGAGUUUUUUUAAAAACAAUUGAGUGGUAUAUGAACUUUUCCGAAAUAAAUAACACGUUAUUUUUGUUUCUGAA